UUUAAAUUUAAUAAAAUAUACAUCAAUUAAUAUAAAUAUUAUGGUAAAUUAUAUACGGAGUCACUAAUAAUAAAGUAGAGUUUGAGUAGCUUGGUGUCGUCAGGCGUAUUUUGGGAAAAUUAUAACUGCUUUAGCCUAACACAGGUGGUAUCGUUAUUUUACCCAGUUUUGACAUGUACAACCGUCAAAAUGAACGCUCAGUGCAUAGGCUGGUUCUUCCUCCAGAUUCUCACAGUUGCUCAAAUCCUCUUCCAGUUUCGUUUGGAAAAUGGGCGUUAAUUCUACCUCUGUUUUUUGACCUUAUUCUCCAACUAUUUCACUUCUCUCCUUGGAUCUAUACUCUAUGCUAUGACCAGAUAGUUCUGUCACAGAUCUCUUGUUCAACUUUAAAGAAAUUGUUUAUAUUGGGUAAAUUAUUGGUCCAUCAUUCUCCGCACUGCGGCAGCUUGUGAACUCUGUUGCUUAACCAAAAGUCCUAAAUUGAGGGAAAUGCUAACGAUACUCUUUUCUCCUGAGAAGAAAGCCGCGUAUUGAUGAAGAUACAAAGGAGAAUGGGAAAUGUGAUUUUCCCAAUUAAAGUACAUUUAUAGAAGUGCAAGUCAUACAGUUGAAAGCUUGAGCCACUGCCAGUCCAAGACAUGUUAUAUAAAUUCAGUGUGUGAGAUUCACUGCUAUUAGUGAAACAGUCAAUAUAUGAACCUCUAUGCGAGAUAUAUUUGUUAUUUUGGUACUUUGUUAAUGCAGUUGUUGAAAUUCAUUUCUCUGAUCAGAUGUUGUUUAUCUGCUGGACUUUGAAUCUAUCUUUUUUUAGUUGGUACCAAGUUUUGUUAAGAUCGACUAGUUUUUGGUAAAAAGGUCUUUUUACUGCAAUUUUUUGUA